AAUCUUUUUCCUCUGAUAUGUUAUCAGCUAAAAGAAAAACUAAAUCAAAUCUACUUAAUAAUGGGAAUG
rnacentral:antisense_RNA from 1 species